rnacentral:rRNA from 1 species
GUCUAUUAGAAAUUGUUUAUAGUCUAGCCUGCUCACUGACAUAAAGUGUUAAAUAGCCGCGGUAUCUUGACCGUGCAAAGGUAGCAUAAUCAUUAGUUUCUUAAUUGGGAACUUGUAUGAAUGGUUGGACAAAGAAAAAUCUGUCUCUUGCACUGAAAUUGAAUUUAACUUCUAAGUGAAAAGGCUUAGAUUAUCCAGAGGGACGAUAAGACCCUAUAAAGCUUUAUAAAUUUAUUAAUUUCGUUUAUUUUUUAUUAUAAUAAUGAUGAUAAGAGAAUUUAUUUGGUUGGGGCAACCGAAGUAUAAUUUUAAAUAACUGCUAUAAUUUAAUACAAUGAUUUUUGUCUUAUACAAUAAUUGAUCCUCAAAGAGAUUAAAGACCAAGUUACUUUAGGGAUAACAGCGUAAUUUAUCCUGAGAGUUCUUAUCAAAGGAAAAGUUUGCGACCUCGAUGUUGAAUUAAAAUGUCUACCUAGUGCAGCAGCUAGGAAAGAAGGUCUGUUCGACCUUUAAUUUUUUACAUGAUC